rnacentral:rRNA from 1 species
ACUCCUACGGGAGGCAGCAGUGGGGAAUAUUGCACAAUGGGCGCAAGCCUGAUGCAGCCAUGCCGCGUGUAUGAAGAAGGCCUUCGGGUUGUAAAGUACUUUCAGCAGUGAGGAAGGUGGUGCAGUUAAUAGCUGUAUCAUUUGACGUUAGCUGCAGAAGAAGCACCGGCUAACUCCGUGCCAGCAGCCGCGGUAAUACGGAGGGUGCGAGCGUUAAUCGGAAUUACUGGCGUAAAGCGCAUGCAGGUGGUUUGUUAAGUCAGAUGUGAAAGCCCGGGGCUCAACCUCGGAAUUGCAUUUGAAACUGGCAGACUAGAGUACUGUAGAGGGGGUAGAAUUUCAGGUGUAGCGGUGAAAUGCGUAGAGAUCUGAAGGAAUACCGGUGGCGAAGGCGGCCCCCUGGACAGAUACUGACACUCAGAUGCGAAAGCGUGGGGAGCAAACAGGAUUAGAUACCCUGGGAACACAGAG